GGCGUUAACAGAUACAAUGGCAAUAUUUGAAGAGGCAGCUACUUUGGAAUCAUUUCGAAUUGAUUGCAAAUCUACAGGUCCGAAAUAUGGGUACUUUGGCAAGUAAUCAUAUCAUGAAGCACAAUCUUCCGAUGUGUACAUCGUUUUUCAAUCACUAAACGCUCAAGUGGUACUUCAAGAAAGUCUCGUAAAAGAAAAAUCAGUAACAAUGACAGAGCGUCUGAAAAUUGAGAUGAGCAGUAAAAUUAUUAGAGAAAUUGUUCUCCGACCUUACAUACAUUAUAAGAGCAC
rnacentral:lncRNA from 1 species